rnacentral:rRNA from 1 species
AUUGAACGCUGGCGGCAGGCCUAACACAUGCAAGUCGAACGAGUGGCGGACGGGUGAGUAAUGUCUGGGCAACUGCCUGAUGGAGGGGGAUAACUACUGUAACCGGUAGCUAAUACCGCAUACAACCCGAUCUGCCCAGAUGGGAUGAGCUAGUAGGUGGGGUAACGGCUCACCUAGGCGACGAUCCCUAGCUGGUCUGAGAGGAUGACCAGCCACACUGGAACUGAGACACGGUCCAGACUCCUACGGGAGGCAGCAGUGGGGAAUAUUGCACAAUGGGCGAAAGCCUGAUGCAGCCAUGCCGCGUGUAUGAAGAAGGCCUUCGGGUUGUAAAGUACUGUCAGCGGGGAGGCGUUACCCGCAGAAGAAGCAACGGCUAACUCCGUGCCAGCAGCCGCGGUAAUUC